ACGAACGCUGGCGGCAUGCCUAACACAUGCAAGUCGAACGAGACCUUCGGGUCUAGUGGCGCACGGGUGCGUAACGCGUGGGAACCUGCCCUUAGGUUCGGAAUAACUCCCCGAAAGGGGUGCUAAUACCGGAUAAUGUCUUCGGACCAAAGAUUUAUCGCCUUUGGAUGGGCCCGCGUUGGAUUAGCUAGUUGGUAGGGUAAAAGCCUACCAAGGCGACGAUCCAUAGCUGGUCUGAGAGGAUGAUCAGCCACACUGGGACUGAGACACGGCCCAGACUCCUACGGGAGGCAGCAGUGGGGAAUAUCGGACAAUGGGCGAAAGCCUGAUCCAGCAAUGCCGCGUGAGUGAUGAAGGCCUUAGGGUUGUAAAGCUCUUUUACCCGGGAUGAUAAUGACAGUACCGGGAGAAUAAGCUCCGGCUAACUCCGUG
rnacentral:rRNA from 1 species